AUUGAACGCUGGCGGCAGGCCUAACACAUGCAAGUCGAACGGAACCUUCGGGUUUAGUGGCGAACGGGUGAGUAAUGCCUAGGAAUCUGCCUAUUAGUGGGGGAUAACGAAUCGAAAGGUUCGCUAAUACCGCAUACGUCCUACGGGAGAAAGAGGGGGAUCUUCGGACCUCUUGCUAAUAGAUGAGCCUAGGUCGGAUUAGCUAGUUGGUGAGGUAAAGGCUCACCAAGGCGACGAUCUGUAGCUGGUCUGAGAGGAUGGCCAGCCACACUGGAACUUGGACACGGUCCAGACUCCUACGGGAGGCAGCAGUGGGGAAUAUUGGACAAUGGGCGCAAGCCUGAUCCAGCCAUGCCGCGUGUGUGAAGAAGGCCCUCGGGUUGUAAAGCACUUUAAGCGAGGAGGAAGGUCAUCAUACUAAUAUUAUGAUGAAUUGACGUUACUCGCAGAAUAAGCACCGGCUAACUCUGUGCCAGCCGCCGCCGUAACAC
rnacentral:rRNA from 1 species